CGGAAACGAGCCUGCAUCAGCUGGCCGCUUUCCCAGAAUGCACCGCGGCCACAGCUUGAUUAUGGACAGCGCUAACAGAGAUCACAGUGGGACCACAGAAGGAACCCAGGCCCUCAUCAACUGGCGUAUUCCCAAUGAGGGCCUAUUUACAGGCAGGAGGAACUCCUCCAAAACCGAAUGGCAGACAAGAAGGUAAGAGAUCUUAAUGGCAACUGGCGGGCGAUAGGGCGUCAGGGAGGUGAUUGGGUCCAGGAGGCAUGGGAACGCACCAUUGCAGUGUAGAAAAAAAAUCCCUUUGGUGGGUAUAAAGCAUUUUUAUACAACGGAGAGCGCCACAGUACCAGUGAGUGAUGGACAAAGCCUACAUUGUCGAUGUAAACAUUCAAAAUCUUUCCCCGUGCAUCACACACACCCUGCAGGAUGAUUGAAGGGAAGAGUUUUCUGUUUAAAUAACAUUUAUUUUGUGGCUCUGCAGGUGGAACAAUUCGCACGUCACCCAUCAAUGGCACCGACUGCUCCUUUGAGCGCCUCGAUCCCAGCAAGGCGGGGAAAACCAGCACCCACUCCCUCCAAAUCUUGUCUUUUUGGGAAGAAAAUUUUUUUUUUUUAUGAUCCCCAUCAGGGAGUUCAUGACUCUGUGCACCACCUGGCACACAAGGGCAUCACAAAGAUGUCGGCUGUUUCCCUAUAGGAUGCACCGCCGGCCAGCCAGAAGAGGGUCACCAGCACUCUCCUUAUCCUCACAUGUU